rnacentral:lncRNA from 1 species
GAAGAUGAAGAGGGAAAAGGGAAGUAGAAACACAAAUUGAUCAUGAGAGGAAUUUCAUCUGAUCAAUACCAUCCAUUCAUUUUGGAAGAUGAAAUGUACAUUUCAUCAAUCACCUAAAUCCAAUGGUUUUAAUCAAACAAAAAUCAAAUCAACCAUGAACAAGGCCCAAACAGAAAGUCAAACAUCACAAGACCAUAAAAAUGACUCAACAUAAUUUUUAAAC